GUUUAUUUUCCCCCCUCCCCUAAAUCCCCAAUUUUACCGGAAAUCCUUUAUUUUUUUCCCCAUUUGAUUUUCCCCAAUUUUGCCCGAAAUCCCUAAAAAUUUUUCUAUUCCUCUGCAUCAUCGUGCUGCAUCUCCGUCGGAGAAGGUUGUGAAUCCAUUGUUUGAGAAGCAUCCAAAGCAAUUCGGUAUUGGAGGAGCUUUACCUCCAAAGAAGGAUCUGCACCAUUUUGUGAAGUCGCCUAAGGUUGUUUGCAUUCAAAGGAAAAAAAGGAUCCUUAAGCAGAGGUUGAAAGUCCCACCAGCACUGAACCAGUUUACAAAGACUCUUGAUAAAAACCUUGAGAACAUCACAACUGGAACUGUAAACAUUGGGAGUGAAGACUGUGCAGAACUUGUUGAGAAUACUUCUCUUCAAUUCCAGUCCUUCAUUUCAUUAACGCGUGACUAUCUUGCUCGUCUUCUUCUCUGGUGCAUGCUGUUGGGGCACUACCUUAGAGGCCUCGAGUAUUGGUUGGAGCUAAUGGAGCUUCUAUUGUUGACAAGCAGUCCCGGCAAUAAUAGUUGUGGUGAUGAGCAGGUUGUUUAGAAUUGCACUUUGAUUCCAGUGCUACCAUCUGUAUAUAUGUGUGUAAAUCGGCAUAUCGACUAACUUCUUUUACUCGAAGAGGAAAUUAUCCGCGGACUACUUUUAUCAACUUUGGAUGAUCCUAAUAGAAAACUUUGCACAGCAAUCAGUAUGACUGUAGCAGCUAUUGCAGUCUACAACUGGCCAAAAAGUUGGCCAGACUUGUUGCCGUUCCUCCUAAAGUUGAUUGGUGAUCAAACUAGCAUGAAUGGAGGAGUUGAGAAGGAAAGAGGAUGCAAUAGCACGAGGCAGGUGACCAAGAUUCCGUUUAACAAUUUUCUUUAUUGCUGGAACAAGUCUUAACCAAGAUCAAGAUCAAAGUACUUCAUUAAGUUAUAUAUGCAGGCACUGCAAUACUUUGGCUUCAUCUAAGCUUGAACCAACCCUCUGUUGUAUAUUGUUUCUUCUUCUUUUUUAAUCUUUUUCCUUUGACUAAUGAGAGGUGAUGAUGAUUUGGCAUUAUUUUCUCACUAGGAUGAAUUUUGUUUUAGAAAUUGUAAAUACUUUGUGUGCCUGUGUGUGUUUUUUUAUGUAUUAAAUUUAAAUUCAUUAAUUUUUAUAUUUAAUUUUGGAGUUUAAAUUUUAA